rnacentral:rRNA from 1 species
GAUGAACGCUGGCGGCGUGCCUAAUACAUGCAAGUCGAGCGAACGGACGAGAAGCUUGCUUCUCUGAUGUUAGCGGCGGACGGGUGAGUAACACGUGGAUAACCUACCUAUAAGACUGGGAUAACUUCGGGAAACCGGAGCUAAUACCGGAUAAUAUUUUGAACCGCAUGGUUCAAAAGUGAAAGACGGUCUUGCUGUCACCUAUAGAUGGAUCCGCGCUGCAUUAGCUAGUUGGUAAGGUAACGGCUUACCAAGGCAACGAUGCAUAGCCGACCUGAGAGGGUGAUCGGCCACACUGGAACUGAGACACGGUCCAGACUCCUACGGGAGGCAGCAGUAGGGAAUCUUCCGCAAUGGGCGAAAGCCUGACGGAGCAACGCCGCGUGAGUGAUGAAGGUCUUCGGAUCGUAAAACUCUGUUAUUAGGGAAGAACAUAUGUGUAAGUAACUGUGCACAUCUUGACGGUACCUAAUCAGAAAGCCACGGCUAACUACGUGCCAGCAGCCGCGGUAAUACGUAGGUGGCAAGCGUUAUCCGGAAAUAUUGGGCGUAAAGCGCGCGUAGGCGGUUUUUUAGUCUGAUGUGAAAGCCCACGGCUCAACCGUGGAGGGUCAUUGGAAACUGGAAAACUUGAGUGCAGAAGAGGAAAGUGGAAUUCCAUGUGUAGCGGUGAAAUGCGCAGAGAUAUGGAGGAACACCAGUGGCGAAGGCGACUUUCUGGUCUGUAACUGACGCUGAUGUGCGAAAGCGUGGGGAUCAAACAGGAUUAGAUACCCUGGUAGUCCACGCCGUAAACGAUGAGUGCUAAGUGUUAGGGGGUUUCCGCCCCUUAGUGCUGCAGCUAACGCAUUAAGCACUCCGCCUGGGGAGUACGACCGCAAGGUUGAAACUCAAAGGAAUUGACGGGGACCCGCACAAGCGGUGGAGCAUGUGGUUUAAUUCGAAGCAACGCGAAGAACCUUACCAAAUCUUGACAUCCUUUGACAACUCUAGAGAUAGAGCCUUCCCCUUCGGGGGACAAAGUGACAGGUGGUGCAUGGUUGUCGUCAGCUCGUGUCGUGAGAUGUUGGGUUAAGUCCCGCAACGAGCGCAACCCUUAAGCUUAGUCGCCAUCAUUAAGUUGGGCACUCUAAGUUGACUGCCGGUGACAAACCGGAGGAAGGUGGGGAUGACGUCAAAUCAUCAUGCCCCUUAUGAUUUGGGCUACACACGUGCUACAAUGGACAAUACAAAGGGCAGCGAAACCGCGAGGUCAAGCAAAUCCCAUAAAGUUGUUCUCAGUUCGGAUUGUAGUCUGCAACUCGACUACAUGAAGCUGGAAUCGCUAGUAAUCGUAGAUCAGCAUGCUACGGUGAAUACGUUCCCGGGUCU